rnacentral:rRNA from 1 species
GCACAGAGGAGCUUGCUCCUUGGGUGACGAGUGGCGGACGGGUGAGUAAUGUCUGGGAAACUGCCCGAUGGAGGGGGAUAACUACUGGAAACGGUAGCUAAUACCGCAUAACGUCGCAAGACCAAAGAGGGGGACCUUCGGGCCUCUUGCCAUCGGAUGUGCCCAGAUGGGAUUAGCUAGUAGGUGGGGUAACGGCUCACCUAGGCGACGAUCCCUAGCUGGUCUGAGAGGAUGACCAGCCACACUGGAACUGAGACACGGUCCAGACUCCUACGGGAGGCAGCAGUGGGGAAUAUUGCACAAUGGGCGCAAGCCUGAUGCAGCCAUGCCGCGUGUAUGAAGAAGGCCUUCGGGUUGUAAAGUACUUUCAGCGAGGAGGAAGGGGAUGUGGUUAAUAACCGCAUUCAUUGACGUUACUCGCAGAAGAAGCACCGGCUAACUCCGUGCCAGCAGCCGCGGUAAUACGGAGGGUGCAAGCGUUAAUCGGAAUUACUGGGCGUAAAGCGCACGCAGGCGGUCUGUCAAGUCGGAUGUGAAAUCCCCGGGCUCAACCUGGGAACUGCAUCCGAAACUGGCAGGCUAGAGUCUUGUAGAGGGGGGUAGAAUUCCAGGUGUAGCGGUGAAAUGCGUAGAGAUCUGGAGGAAUACCGGUGGCGAAGGCGGCCCCCUGGACAAAGACUGACGCUCAGGUGCGAAAGCGUGGNGAGCAAACAGGAUUAGAUACCCUGGUAGUCCACGCCGUAAACGAUGUCGACUUGGAGGUUGUUCCCUUGAGGAGUGGCUUCCGGAGCUAACGC